UACGUAGGGCGCAAGCGUUGUCCGGAAUUAUUGGGCGUAAAGAGCUCGUAGGCGGUUUGUCGCGUCUGUCGUGAAAGCUUGGGGCUUAACCCCAAGUCUGCGGUGGAUACGGGCAGACUAGAGGCAGGUAGGGGAGAACGGAAUUCCCGGUGUAGCGGUGAAAUGCGCAGAUAUCGGGAGGAACACCAGUGGCGAAAGCGGCCACCUGGACUGCACCUGACGCUGACACGCGAAAGCUAGGGGAGCGAACGGG
rnacentral:rRNA from 1 species